UACGAAGGGUGCAAGCGUUACUCGGAAUUACUGGGCGUAAAGCGUGCGUAGGUGGUUCGCUAAGUCUGAUGUGAAAGCCCUGGGCUCAACCUGGGAACUGCAUUGGAUACUGGCGGGCUAGAGUGCGGCAGAGGGGAGUGGAAUUCCGCGUGUAGCAGUGAAAUGCGUAGAGAUGCGGAGGAACACCGAUGGCGAAGGCGGCGUUCUGGACUGUAACUGACGCUGAGGGACGGAAGCCAGGGGGGCAAACGGG
rnacentral:rRNA from 1 species